CUUUCCGGCCACCAGCGAAUACACCUUUUCCUCUUUCAAUUUUUCGACCAACUUUCCUUAUUUAAUAUUUUCUUUCCUUUCCUUUUCUAUUUUAUUCUCUUUCCUUAAUUCUUCUAUAGUACCAAAUUUUAUAGCAUAAUCUCCUCCUAAUCACAAAUCAGAAUGUUUCCUUCCCCUUUUCCACUCUCAAAAACAGAUUUUGAAGAGAAAUUGCGAAGAUCGGGGUAGAUUUUUCUUUGAAGAAUCCGUCCAAGUUCAAGAUGUCACAAAGUAGGUGAAUUGGAGAUGAAAGUAGAACAAAAUGGAUACUUAAAAGUCGAAAGCGUACUCGGGAGCAGUUGAAAAGAAAAAGCUGGCGAAGCCAGGCGUUAUACCUGGCGAAGCCAGACCUAGAUCAGGCCUUAUACCUGGCGACGCCAGGCUUGUAGCGGGCGAGAGACUUGGCGAGGCGGGGCAGAAAGAGAGAUUGACCAGGCUUUAUACUUGGCGACGCUAGGCCUGGGGCGAGGUCCACCAGGCGUUAAGGCCUCGCGAGGCCAGGUCUGGGCGUGCACAGCCCGAGUUUUGAAAACUUAUUUCGUCUCCGGGUUUGACUAGAACUUUGUUUACACGUUUAGGUCUUUUCCUACACAUAUAAAUAGAUAUAAAAAUGCCACUUUGGAGGACUUUUGCAACUGGAGGCAAGAAUAGCUUGUGUAAUCAACCGUUGAGAGUUAGAAUCAUCGAUUUCUGCA